rnacentral:rRNA from 1 species
GUAGGGAAUAUUGCGCAAUGGGGGAAACCCUGACGCAGCGACUCCGCGUGAGUGAUGAAGGCCUUCGGGUCGUAAAGCUCUGUUGCAGGGGAAUAAAAAAAUGAAGGUACCCUGUGAGGAAGGAUCGGCUAACUUCGUGCCAGCAGCCGCGGUAAGACGAGGGAUCCUAGCGUUGCUCGGAAUCAUUGGGCGUAAAGAGGGCGUAGGUGGCUUGGUAAGUCAGGUGUGAAAGCCCAGGGCUCAACCCUGGAAGUGCAUUUGAUACUGCUGAGCUUGAGUGUCGGAGAGGUUACCGGAAUACCUGGUGUAGUGGUGAAAUACGUAGAUAUCAGGUGGAACACCGGAGGCGAAGGCGGGUAACUGGACGAACACUGACACUGAGGCCCGAAAGCGUGGGGAUCAAACAGGAUUAGAAACCCCAGUAGUCC